rnacentral:rRNA from 1 species
UACGUAGGGGGCAAGCGUUGUCCAGAUUUAUUGGGCGUAAAGAGCGUGUAGGCGGUUCGGUAGGUCCGUUGUGAAAACUCGAGGCUCAACCUCGAGACGCCGAUGGAAACCAUCGAACUAGAGUCCGGAAGAGGAGAGUGGAAUUCCUGGUGUAGCGGUGAAAUGCGCAGAUAUCAGGAAGAACACCCGUGGCUAAGGCGGCUCUCUAGUACGGUACUGACGCUGAGACGCGAAAGCGUGGGGAGCAAACAGG